rnacentral:rRNA from 1 species
UGGGGAAUUUUGGACAAUGGGGGCAACCCUGAUCCAGCAAUGCCGCGUGAGUGAAGAAGGCCCUGGGUUGUAAAGCUCUUUUGUCAGGGAAGAAACGGUAGUAGCGAAUAACUAUACUAAUGACGGUACCUGAAGAAUAAGCACCGGCUAACUACGUGCCAGCAGCCGCGGUAAUACGUAGGGUGCAAGCGUUAAUCGGAAUUACUGGGCGUAAAGCGUGCGCAGGCGGUUGUGUAAGUCAGAUGUGAAAUCCCCGGGCUCAACCUGGGAAUUGCAUUUGAGACUGCACGGCUAGAGUGUGUCAGAGGGGGGUAGAAUUCCACGUGUAGCAGUGAAAUGCGUAGAUAUGUGGAGGAAUACCGAUGGCGAAGGCAGCCCCCUGGGAUAACACUGACGCUCAUGCACGAAAGCGUGGGGAGCAAACAGGAUUAGAUACCCUUGUAGUCCCUGAGCGGGCUGGCAAGGCGCAU